rnacentral:rRNA from 1 species
UACGUAGGGUGCGAGCGUUGUCCGGAAUUAUUGGGCGUAAAGGGCUCGUAGGCGGUUUGUCGCGUCGGGAGUGAAAACACCGGGCUUAACUCGGUGCUUGCUUUCGAUACGGGCAGACUAGAGGUAUGCAGGGGAGAACGGAAUUCCUGGUGUAGCGGUGAAAUGCGCAGAUAUCAGGAGGAACACCGGUGGCGAAGGCGGUUCUCUGGGCAUUACCUGACGCUGAGGAGCGAAAGCCAGGGGAGCAAACGGG